AUUGAACGCUGGCGGCAUGCUUUACACAUGCAAGUCGGACGAGUGGCGAACGGGUGAGUAACGCAUCGGAACGUACCGAGUAAUGGGGGAUAACUGUCCGAAAGGACAGCUAAUACCGCAUAUUAUUCGAGUGGCCGAUGUCUGAUUGGCUGGUUGGCGGGGUAAAGGCCCACCAGGGCGGCGAUCAGCAGCGGGUCAGAGAGGAUGAUCGGCCACACGUGGACUGAGACACGGCCCAGACGCCUCCGGGAGGCAGCAGUGGGGAAUUUUGGACAAUGGGGGCAGGCCUGAUCCGGCCAUGCCGCGUGGCUGAAGAAGCCCUUCGGGUUGUAAAGGAUUUUUGUCAGGGAAGCGGUACCUGAAGAAUAAGCACCGGCUAACUACGUGCCAGCAGCCGCGGUAAUUC
rnacentral:rRNA from 1 species